GAUGAACGCUAGCGGCAGGCUUAACACAUGCAAGUCGAGGGGCAGCGCGAUGUAGCAAUACAUUGGCGGCGACCGGCGCACGGGUGCGUAACACGUAUGGAACUUACCCUUUACUGGGAGAUAGCCCGGAGAAAUCCGGAUUAAUAUCCCAUAAUAAACGAAGUGGCAUCACUUUGUUUGAAAGCUCCGGCGGUAAAGGAUGGCCAUGCGCACGAUUAGCUAGUAGGUGAGGUAACGGCUCACCUAGGCUACGAUCGUUAGGGGGCCUGAGAGGGUUAUCCCCCACACUGGUACUGAGACACGGACCAGACUCCUACGGGAGGCAGCAGUGAGGAAUAUUGCGCAAUGGAGGCAACUCUGACGCAGCCAUGCCGCGUGCAGGAAGAAGGCGCUACGCGUUGUAAACUGCUUUUAACCGGGAAGAAACCCUCCGACGUGUCGGAGGUUGACGGUACCGGAGGAAUAAGCACCGGCUAACUUCGUGCCAGCAGCCGCGGUAAAGUAUCG
rnacentral:rRNA from 1 species